AGCUUGCUACCUGACCUAGCGGCGGACGGGCGAGUAAUGCUUAGGAAUCUGCCUAUUAGUGGGGGACAACAUUCCGAAAGGAAUGCUAAUACCGCAUACGCCCUACGGGGGAAAGCAGGGGAUCUUCGGACCUUGCGCUAAUAGAUGAGCCUAAGUCAGAUUAGCUAGUUGGUGGGGUAAAGGCCUACCAAGGCGACGAUCUGUAGCGGGUCUGAGAGGAUGAUCCGCCACACUGGGACUGAGACACGGCCCAGACUCCUACGGGAGGCAGCAGUGGGGAAUAUUGGACAAUGGGCGAAAGCCUGAUCCAGCCAUGCCGCGUGUGUGAAGAAGGCCUUUUGGUUGUAAAGCACUUUAAGCGAGGAGGAGGCUACUGAGAUUAAUACUCUUGGAUAGUGGACGUUACUCGCAGAAUAAGCACCGGCUAACUCUGUGCCAGCAGCCGCGGUAAUACAGAGGGUGCGAGCGUUAAUCGGAUUUACUGGGCGUAAAGCGUGCGUAGGCGGCUUUUUAAGUCGGAUGUGAAAUCCCUGAGCUUAACUUAGGAAUUGCAUUCGAUACUGGGAAGCUAGAGUAUGGGAGAGGAUGGUAGAAUUCCAGGUGUAGCGGUGAAAUGCGUAGAGAUCUGGAGGAAUACCGAUGGCGAAGGCAGCCAUCUGGCCUAAUACUGACGCUGAGGUACGAAAGCAUGGGGAGCAAA
rnacentral:rRNA from 1 species